rnacentral:rRNA from 1 species
UGGGGAAUCUUCCGCAAUGGACGAAAGUCUGACGGAGCAACGCCGCGUGUAUGAUGAAGGUCUUCGGAUUGUAAAGUACUGUCAUUGGGGAAGAACGGUUUUCUUGAGAAUAUUGAGAAGACAUGACGGUACCCAAGGAGGAAGCCCCGGCUAACUACGUGCCAGCAGCCGCGGUAAUACGUAGGGGGCAAGCGUUGUCCGGAAUUAUUGGGCGUAAAGGGCGCGUAGGCGGGCCUUUAAGUCCGGUGUGAAAGAUCAGGGCUCAACCCUGAGAGUGCAUCGGAAACUGGAGGCCUUGAGGACAGGAGAGGAAAGUGGAAUUCCACGUGUAGCGGUGAAAUGCGUAGAUAUGUGGAGGAACACCAGUGGCGAAGGCGACUUUCUGGACUGUAACUGACGCUGAGGCGCGAAAGCGUGGGGAGCAAACAGGAUUAGAUACCCUGGUAGUCCACGCCGUAAACGAUGAGUGCUAGGUGUAGAGGGUAUCGACCCCCUUCUGUGCCGCAGUUAACACAAUAAGCACUCCCGCCUGGGGA